AUUGAACGCUGGCGGCAUGCCUUACACAUGCAAGUCGAACGGUAACAGGUCUUCGGAUGCUGACGAGUGGCGAACGGGUGAGUAAUACAUCGGAACGUGCCUAGUAGUGGGGGAUAACUACUCGAAAGAGUGGCUAAUACCGCAUGAGAUCUACGGAUGAAAGCAGGGGAUCGCAAGACCUUGUGCUACUAGAGCGGCCGAUGGCAGAUUAGGUAGUUGGUGGGAUAAAAGCUUACCAAGCCGACGAUCUGUAGCUGGUCUGAGAGGACGACCAGCCACACUGGGACUGUGACACGGCCCAGACUCCUACGGGAGGCAGCAGUGGGGAAUUUUGGACAAUGGGCGCAAGCCUGAUCCAGCAAUGCCGCGUGCAGGAUGAAGGCCUUCGGGUUGUAAACUGCUUUUGUACGGAGCGAAAAGCCCUGGGUUAAUACCCUGGGGUCAUGACGGUACCGUAAGAAUAAGCACCGGCUAACUACGUGCCAGCAGCCGCCGUAAAAC
rnacentral:rRNA from 1 species